UUUAACAUUUCCCUUGUCCAAAUGAUCCUUUGGACAUUGGAGAUUCAGAAAUUUCGCAGCAGGUCAUCUAGGUCAGCACUUCACACCACCAACAUAUACUACACAUUCAGUCAGGAAAACUCUUCCGUUUCAUCUUCGUCUUGCCAUGUACGUUGGUCACUGCAAUUUUGGCAUUUUGCUUUCAUUCAUGUACAGCACGAGCGGCGGUCCAGUAUUUUUGGGUGACUAUCGGCGGCGGCGAAAGCAGCAGCAAGAGAAGGAACACGAGGGAAGGCUAGGGAACUUGCACGAAGGAAGGCUAGGGAACUUGCACGAGGGAAGGCUAGGGAACUUGCACGAGGGAAGGCUAGGCAACUUCAUGGCGCAAGCGCAAGCGCAGCACCUCUUGGGGGCCCUGAACUUCGGCGCCUUGAUCGUCCUCCACCAGCCGCACCACCGGCG
rnacentral:lncRNA from 1 species